AUUAAAAGUUGUUAUCGUCUUAUGAAUGUACUGUUUACUGUGUAUGGUCAUCACUUCUCUGUCUGUGAUAGUGCAAAAAAAGCACUCGAGCCAGAGUGGUGGUUUUUGUUUUAUUUCAGCAACAUAUUUCAGUAUGAUCAGUAUACACUUAGAUAUUUAAAUAAAUAACAGGUGAUAGUUCACCUGAGGACUUUGACUCCAGUAGUGGUUUUAUGUACAUUUUCCACCACAGAGCAACAUUUUCUUCUCCCAUAGAUAUAAUUUAAUAAUGAUAACGAUGAUUAAAAAUGCUGUUUUUUAAGUCAGCUGUUUUGAACAUCAAACAGUCUCUCGGUGGACAAGUCUGUGGUCUUUUUUUGUGUUUGUUUUUGUUUUUGGAACUGGGGACUGCGUAUUUAACAGCAGCAGCCUCAAGCAAAGCAAUAAAUGGAUGGUCUGAAAGGUAGCCUGCCAGGCAGCCGGUUUUAAUGGAUGGUCCUGUAGGCUGUUUAACCAUGCCAGCUGCCUGAUAAAAAAGCUAAAUAUUUUAGGGGUAGGCAGUACAUCAGUACAUCUCUUGUCACUUCAUUGAUUUUUUUUUUUACAUGGUAAAGCCCCCUUUGAAUAAAAACACUGCUUAAUUUCUCCAUUGCUACCAGCGAUUACUAUGCUGGAAAGUUUCCAAUGUAGAAACACAGUUUUUGUGUUUCUGAAUAGAGAGUAAUUAAACACUAUUGUACACAUUUUCAUGUCAAGAGGUUUAUGACCACCCAAAAGGUUACUUCGGGCCACUCCUCUGGGGACAAUGGGCAGCUACAGUAUGACCACAGCCCAGCUGUAGGCUGGAGAGUAUAAGUGGCAAAAUAAGUUGUUUUUUUUUAAAUUCUUUUUUAGGAGGCAUUUAUUCAAUAUCUGCAGAGUAGAGAUCAAGAUUCAAGGUGAUGUUUUUGUCAUUAUAUAACACAGAGUUGCACAAUGAACAAAUGUCUCUGACAUGCUACACAAACACAGAAUAUAUUAACAGUUAUUAAUAUAUGUAAAUUGCACCCAAGAAAUGAUUCUGUAGUGGCACAGUGGCAACAAGAUGUCAGUGAUAACAUGGUCGGCAUCCCCGCACCAAGAGUUCAAGUUCAGGUAAACACGGAGUCCACCUCUCCUUGUCCCGAGGUAAUCCUGCGCUCUGUACUGCUCAGAACACAUUCCGCCCAUAGAGUGCAACAGCUUGUUACAAGAUGUUUUGGUGGAGGCAGAUCUCUGUCACUGUUUGAUUUAGGCUCAAAUUGUGCACCAGAACCCUGGGAUCACCACGGGAGCCUAUGACUCUGUCGAAGCUUCACAAUGUUCUAUAACACCGACGAUUUGCAACCAACUGCGUUUACAAAAGGUUCCUGAGCCUGUGCAGUGAUGUGUUUCACAAAGUGGUGAACCUCGCCCCAUCCUUGCUUGAGCACCACUAAGCCUUUCGAGGAUGCCCUGUUCAUACCAGUCAAGAUACUAUCACUUGUUACCAAUAUGUUCCAAACAGGUGUUCAAGGAUUCAAUAACUUUCUCAAUUUGUUUGAAAUGUGAUGCUGGCAUUCAUUUCAGAAUGAGCAUAUGUUUACUGAAAAUGGAGUUGCUGAGUCUUUAAUCUGCAUCUGGAUCGACAUAUUGGACAAAACUUUCUUAACCUUCCAGAGUAUUUCAAUUGUGUCAAAUGUUUUUUUUCAAAUCCAUCUGUAGAAUGUAUUAGGGCUCCUUCUUUAAACUUGUUUUCUACUAACACAAUAUUUCUGGGAAUGGAACAGAUGUUUUGGUUUUUUUUUCUUUUUUAGAAAAAAAAAAAAAGUUUAUUUUCGAAGACCUUCAAAAAUCCUCUGUAGCCACGGGCCAACCACUCUUACACAAGGCUGUUUAUGCCAAGAGAACAUUUCCAUUUAUAGCACAUUCUUUUGUAAAGAUAUUUAAUAGAUGUAUUCUCCUCUGGAAAGGUGCAGAGGAGGCACUGCCAAGCACAUUCGUGGCUUCUUUCAGUUGAGAAAAAAGCCAAGAAUGUGUUCAAUUUUUUGUGUAAACUAUCACCAAUUUAGUAAGAAAAUGCUAUGACCUCUUUAAAAAAAAAAAAGAAAAAAAAAUCCAGUAAUUCAGCUCCGCAAGCUAAAAAUGGGUUGUAAGACUGGUUUUAAUCAAGAUUUCAAAAGGGGAGCUUUGAGUUUUCACCUUGAUGUUGUUUAAUUUCCUUUUUUGUUCUUGCAAAAAAAGCCAAAAGUUUUCUCCUUUAGAAAGCCAACACUGAAAAAGACUUGACAUGUUUAGGCAUCGACAAGGUCGUGCUACAACUCCAAGAUGGUUCGGGUUGAACAUUGUUUGUUUUGCGGGUUUGUUCAUUAGCUUGAAUGGCAAUUGUGUAAAUGUAAAUGUGUUUGAUACGUGCACUUAUUGCACCCCCUGGUAUUAACAAUACAACCGAUGCAUGAAAUAAACAAAAGACAGACUAUGA